rnacentral:rRNA from 1 species
AGCGAACGCUGGCGGCAGGCUUAUCACAUGCAAGUCGAACGCCCCGCAAGGGGAGUGGCAGACGGGUGAGUAACACGUGGGAACGUACCCUUUGGUUCGGAAUAACUUGGGGAAACUCAAGCUAAUACCGGAUAAGCCCUUAUGGGGAAGGGUUUACUGCCGAAGGAUCGGCCCGCGUCUGAUUAGCUAGUUGGUGAGGUAAUGGCUCACCAAGGCGACGAUCAGUCGAUGGUCUGAGUGGAUGAUCAGCCACACUGGGACUGAGACAAGGCCCAGACUCGUACGGGAGGCAGCAGUGGGGAAUAUUGGACAAUGGGGGCAACCCUGAUCCAGCCAUGCCGCGUGAGUGAUGAAUGCCUUAGGGUUGUAAAGCUCUUUUACCCGGGACGAUCAUGACUGUACCGGGAGAAUAAGCCCCGGCUAACUUCGUGCCAGCCGCCGCAGUAA